rfam:Nicotiana sylvestris Nsyl_contig44923, whole genome shotgun sequence.
AAUGGUCUAAGAGAGCUUCCUUCAGCCCACUCAUGGAGGAGAACUGGGGUUGAAUUAGCUGCCGCCUCAUUCAUCCAACCACUCAGUAGAAAGGAAUAGGUUUUGUGCUACUGUGAUUGAGUGAAUGAUGCGGGAGAUAGUUUUCUAUUCCUCUCUUUCCUUGCUUGGACUGAAGGGAGCUCCUUUUUUCCAUUUU